rnacentral:rRNA from 1 species
UGCGUAGGUGGUGAGGUAAGUCGGAUGUGAAAUCUCCAGGCUCAACCUGGAAACUGCAUUGGAAACUACCUUGCUGGAGGAUUUGAGGGGGGAUUGGAAUACUUGGUGUAGCAGUGAAAUGCGUAGAUAUCAAGUGGAACACCAGUGGCGAAGGCGAAUCCCUGGAAAAUACCUGACACUGAGGCACGAAAGCUAGGGGAGCAAACA